GGGUCCUAGGAAAAAUGAGGAGGCAGAAGACACCAGAAGAAAUAGGGAGCUAGGGACAGAGCUCAUGGGGAGCCAGGUUCUUUCCUCUUCCAGAUUUUGAAAAGCCAGAUAGGCAGGGCUUAUUUGAAACACACAAAAAUUAUUUUUAAAAUUUUGUUCAAGCAAUUAUUUUUAAAUACCUAUCAAUUAGCACCACAUUUAGAAGUAACUGAGUUUGAAAAUCUUCCAACAAAUAGUUGUUGGUAAUGAGGAAAAUGAUCAGGAUACAAACAGUGCCCAAUGCACAGAUGUUUGGGGUGAAUCAAGUCAAUUGUCCUGUUCCCAUCUGAGGAAACAAUUAAACGUUGAGUUUCCGUGCCCCUGCCGGAGGUUGCGGUUCCAAAGACACAGGACAGGUCAUGGGAAGUGGUGUCCAGAGCGGCCCAGUGACCUGAGUAAACACAGGGAGCGCUGCCAGUCUCUCCGAUUUCAUCAGGCAGUGGGCCCUCCGGCCUGGCUUAUAGAACGGUAGUUUUGUAACUAAGGUCUAACUGGAACCGUCGUGUCCCUGUCCCCGUGUUUCUCGCUCAGCCCUUAGACCUUCACUGCCCUCUCUCAAAACUCCCCUCGGACAUCCACAACCGCGCACGCUCUCCCUGCAGAGGAAACCGCCACCCCGCAAGGCCUGUGGUGGGCGCAGCGUGCCGGGGCGUCAACUCCCGGCGCUCGGCCCUGUUACACUUGGAUUUCGAAGCCCUCACCGCUUCCGCCUUCAGAGUGCUUGCCCUUCGUCCUCAGCCCUCGUGCCUGUCUGUCUCCCGCUGUCUCUACCUUUCCCUCCGUCUCUCUCCCUCCAAAAGGCGAUCUCAGCUGAAUUUAUCCAGGCUCUGUGCUUUCCCACCUAGAGGGGAACGCAGAGGCGACAUCUUCGGCCCCCAGGCUCGGAAGCGAACAAAGGAAACCCAGCCGGCCCCGGCGCUCAGGUUUCCCCCAAACUCCUGGGCUUCCUGGAGUGCUCUCCCGCCGCCGCCGCCGCCGCCGCCGCCGCCGCCUCCCGCGCGCUCUUUCGAACCUCGUUCGCAAACUGCAGCAAAUGGAAGGAGCCCGGCCAGGUGGCAGGGGUGUUGGUGCAAGGAGGGCGGAGGCAGAGACAGGUUUGUAAAAGACUGUCUUCUGAGCUCCGGAGAUAAUGUCUGCGACUGGAGACCCCCUCCUCGUCCCGGCGGCGGCGCGGACUGUCAGCCAGACGGCGCCGCGGCGCCGGGCCAUGCGCGAGGGAGCCCGGCGAGGAGCAAUCCUUUCUGGGCUUGGGGCGCCGGGCAGUAAAUGCAGCGCCAGCUCGCCCAAAGCUCUCUUUGCGGAUUUCUUUUGAAAGACUCCUCCCUUUGUACACCUCGUGCGGAAUGCAGCGGCGACCUCUCGCCCAAAAGACUACCAGGAGAGAGCAAAUGAAGUCUUAAGUACCUGCAGUGUCCUGCCAGAAGGAAUGUCUCUCCUUGGAACAGUCCUUAUUGACAUGGCAGCUGUGUGAGGACCGGAACGGAGGCUUAAACUCCGCUCUAAAAAUCAGUUAAUACCCUAAAGUCUGGAGCAAGUGCGCAGAAUUAUACUGGGGGAGAGGAGAGUCUGCAAGUACAGCCACAUUUCUUAAAAGACAAACGACCUUCCUGCCCACUUUUUUUCAUCUCUCUUCAAAAGGACCCAGGACAUACUAGAUGUUGGCGACAACUGGAUAGGCGAUAGUGUGGAUGCCGUGAUUGCGGGCACCGGGGUUGAUGAAAUGUGGUGUUAGUUCUCGGAGGCUGGGCCGGGCCCCGCCAGCCUUUUCCCUUGCGUUAAAUCCAAUGAAUCGCGUAACUAGACAAGAAAACGGCUAUACGUUUUGUACCAACGAGCCUACCUGCUAUUUCGAUCCCUUGGUCAGGGGAACCUAUUGUUAUAAAUGUUAAUUAUUGGCUCGGAUUUACAAGAUUUCCCAAAAUGGAACCUUUCACUGAAAACCACUAAAAAGAGGUAAAAUGACAUGAAUUUACAAACCACAUAAACCAAAUGAUCCAUUUUAAAUCGCACACAGAAACGUUUGAGUUGUUCCAGUAAUUUAAAACCUUUGCUGUCAAUGCAAAUCACACGAAAAACAUAGAUGCGUCGGAGAUUUAAAGGGAAAGAGCAACUAUAACUGCUUCCCCCUGGGCUUCGCAGCUCUAGAUAGAGGGCAACGCAGCCGGCGAGCGGCGCCCGACGCCAGGUUUCGGCUCUUCUAUGCCUCCUCUGUGCAGGUAACAGUCGCGUGCACACAACCGGUCUUUGGAAAGGCCAAAGCAUUGGUUGCUGCUGGGGUUUCUCAGCUGGGUGGGCAUAGGGCCUCGGUCCUUUUAAAAACCCCUGUCUGGGACCCACUUGUUUCCCUUCUGCCUUGGGAGUGAGAUGCUUUGGGGCUCUCUGCCCGCUUUCUUGGAAUUUCUUUGCAGUCAACAACUACAGCCGGCUUCUACUCUACCUACAGAUAUUUGGAGACGAAGGGCAUUAGGAGGUAUUUCUUCAAAAAAUUAGCGUUGUCGCUCUGGGGCAGUGCGAAGACUUCCUAAAUCCUUCCUGAAGUAACAAUAUUCAUCUUUUUUUCCUCUGCUUGGUCGGAAACUCCGGGUGCCCUCGACCCUUGGGAUCCAGGCUCCGACGGCCGGCGCCGCCCGGGAGCAGCCGUCCACCUGCCUCCUGAGGACGCCGCUCCCCGUGAGUGGGAAUCUGCAAUGUGACACCGGAUCCGCGCGGCCCCCGCCUCUCUUCCUCCCUCCCUUCCAGCCUCUCUCGGCCAGGCCGAGGGGAGCCCGCCACCCUCCUCGGCUUAUUUCUGAACAAUGAAGAUUUGUCUGUUCUAAUAUAUUUAUGUAUGGAGGGAGGGAAGGACGGGGUUUUCUCCUGCAAGCGGGAGGCGCGCGAGCAGCCCCUCGCUUCCUUGGUGCGAAAACCCAGCACCAGCCGGAGACUCCGGGACACCGCGGUCUCCCCCCCAACGCCCCCCUCCCACACCUGGACAAACAGCGGGCUGCGGGCCCCGCUUGCGCUAAAACCCCCGCCGCCCGGCGCAGCUCCUGAAAAUAGUCUCACAUUGUCCCGGGGUCAAGGAAGAGGACUGACACCGCUACGAGGGAACUAGUGGUGGAAGAAGACAGAGCCGGGGUGGGGUGUGUUUGGAGGGGUUAUCCUCUUCCUCUGUGUGUGUCCCCACAUCUGGUCCCUCUCUCUGAAUGUGCGUCUCUAUCUGAUUCUCUCUUUUCAAUCUGAAAGAGGGAGCCUGUUCAUUCUGCGUGUGAACCUGUUUCUCAUUCUUCAAUUCUCUUUCAUUCUGUCUUAUCUCUAUAUCACCCUCUCUCCCUUUCUCUCGUUCAUUCUUCUCAUUGUUUCUCCUCCCUCUGCCUCUCUGCCUCUCUGCUUCUGCACACUCCCUCUCUUAUCUGGAUCUCUUUAUUUCUCUCUCGUUCCCCUGUCUACCGCACUGCUAUGGGGGGCCUACGCCUCUUUCUGCCCAGAAUCAGGCGCUGUGAGGUUCUAAGGACAGAGUAUGUUUAUGUUGCCCACCCAGGCAGUGCGGAGCAAGUAGACUCUCAAGUCCUGGCAGGGGCGUAGGGUUCAGCCGGUGGAGCCCCACCACGCUGAAUGGUGGCGUGGUCAGAAGGUGGGAGAGCCCCGGGUAUGGCGCAGGAAGGUGGGUUAGCUGCCUGAGGGGAAAAGGGCCAACUUAGGUGGUGCUUUGAGAAGGCUCUAGCUCAGGGACUCGUCAACCGCCAGAUAAUGAGCCUGAAGACGCCACUCAACAUCAGAUGCCAAACACCUUUCUGCAAAGUGGAAGAGAGUGUUGUAAGAAUCCGUUCUUAAGAACUUAAGACAUUCUUGUUCCCUUCUCUUAAAAAGAUUGCCUUAGGGCAAGUUUUUUUGUUUCUUUUUUUUUUUUUUAAGAUACUCGCCAAGAGCUCUUAUCUUCCAUUGAAUUUUCAAUCAAC